rnacentral:rRNA from 1 species
UUAUAAUUUAUUUAUUAAUAAAUAAAAGUUUAUUAUUUUUUUUAAUAAAAAUAAUUUUGUUAAUGUUAAGUUUAAGUAUUGUAUAAAGAAUAAAUAAUUUUAAUAAUAGUUGAUUAAGUAUUGUAAAAGAAUAUUGAAAUAAUUUGAAAAAUUUUUAUAAAAAAAGAAAAUUUUAUUUAUUGUACCUUGUGUAUCAGGGUUAAUUAAUUAAUUAAUAAUUAUAGUUAUUUAUCUCGAAUUUAAAAGAUUUAAUAAAUUAUUUUAGUUAAUGUAGAAUAAUUAUUAAUAAUAAUUUAUUAGAAAUGAAACGUUAUUCGUUUUUAAAUAUAUCUAGUUUUUUACGAAAUAAAUUAAAUUUAGUCAGUUAAAUUUUUUCUUUUUAUUGAUUAAAUAAGUAUGUAUUUAACUGAUAAUAUUUUAAGGGUUUAGCUUUAAAAUAAAUUUUUAUAAAUAAUAAUAAAAAAAUUAAUUGUAGGCUUAGAAUUAGCCAUCAUUGAUAAAUGUGUUAUAAUUUAUUUUUUAAAAAAAUUAUUUUGUGAUAUUUUAAUUUUUUUAGUAAAAUAUAAGUUUAAAUUAAAUAAACUUAGUAAUUAUGAUUAAAUUAGUAAAUUUAAAGUUUGUAAAGUAUUAUGGAUGUUUGGUUUAUUUAAGGAAUUCGGCAAAUUUAAAUACUUACCUGUUUAACAAAAACAUGUCUUUUUGUAUUUAAUUUAAAGUCUAGUCUGCCCACUGAGGAAUUAAAGGGCCGCGGUAUUUUGACCGUGCAAAGGUAGCAUAAUCAUUAGUCUUUUAAUUGAAGGCUGGCAUGAAUGGCUGAAUAAAGUAUAAGCUGUCUUAUUUAAAUUAACAAUCGAAUUUUAUUUUUUAGUUAAAAAGCUAAAAUGUGGUUAAAGGACGAGAAGACCCUAUAAAGCUUUAUAGUUAAGGGUAUAUUAAUUAUAAAGAAUUUUUAAAUUUUUAUAGUUUUAAUUAUUUUAUUGGGGUGAUAUUAAAAUUUAAAUAACUUUUAUUGUUUAUUUACAUUUAUUUAUGAAUUUAUUGAUCCAGUUUUAUUGAUUAAAAAUUUAAGUUACUUUAGGGAUAACAGCGUAAUUUUUUUUGAGAGUUCUUAUCGAUAAAAAAGAUUGCGACCUCGAUGUUGGAUUAAGAUUAAUUUUAGGUGUAGAAGCUUAAAGUUUUGAGUCUGUUCGACUUUUAAUUUCUUACAUGAUCUGAGUUCAAACCGGUUUAAGCCAGGUUGGUUUCUAUCCUUAAUUAAAUAAAGUUAUUUUAGUACGAAAGGACCAAAUAAUUGAAAUAUUAAUUUUUUUUAUUUUGAAUAUAAUUAAUGA